UAUUUAGCAAGUGUAAAGACAACGAACAAAACCGUUGAUUGUUGAACGCAAGCAGAACAAGUGAACGACGAAAAUGACUACUGAGUCCAAUUCCGAGUCAGAGUCGAGUCCAACGAGUUCAAUCGGACCGAUUCUCGACCUUCUCGCAUCGGCUGGCUAUGGCGACGCGUAUAACAACGAUUUAUCGGACUUCGAUAAGCUUAUUCAUGGACUUGCAUCGUGUAUUUCUUCCGUUAAUUUCUCCGCUCCUCAAAAUAUUGACACAUUUGAAGACAUUGAAGACACUCUUAAGUUGAUGGGGUGCCCCCAUGCUCUCCAGGUUACCCAGAUCAAAGAUCGCUGCUAUGCUGGUAUCUAUCCUGCCGUGCAAUGGAUUGUUAGUCUUGUCAAGACACAGCAAUGUGGUAGAAGUUAUGAGAAAGAAAGAGAGGCUUCCGUCUUGACAGAGAUGCAACUUCUAGAAGAAAGAAUUGAGGAGGCAGGCGUCAGUAGUAUGGUUCAAAAAUUGGUUUCCCUGCUGAAGAAAUCUAAGGGUCUGGAGAGGCAAGGAACUGAAUUUCAGUCCGAUUGCAGUCUGAAACAUUUUAGAUUGCAAUCUGAGAUCACUAGGUUGGUGGAAGAUCUGACAGAUGGUAAUGGUGAUAGCGAUCCACAUCAUUAUCUUGAUAGUUUAAUUUUUGACUCAUCGAAGAAGUUGAAAUGUGCAAAAAAGGAACUUUCAAGAUUUCUGAGCAGAUUGCUCUCUUUGAAGCGGCAGCUUGAUGAACUACCUAUUGAAGCUGAACUUGUUCAGUAUGAACGUCGAUUUUCCGAAUUAAAUGUUCAUAUACAGGAUAGACUUCGUCAAACUCGUGGACAUUAUGAAACCUAUAAUGCUCUUCUUGAGAUAAAGGACUUGAUGCUGAAGGAGAUAUCUUUACUGAAUUCAGUAGAUUUGCAAUUUGGAGAUGCAAUUGGGAACCCUGCUGGUCGUACAAAACUCAUUGAUUCAAUGGAAGCUAUUGUGAAGGGAGUUCAGCAGAAACUUGAGAAGGUGCAACUCGGAGUACAAGUGGACAAAAAAACUCUUGAUACCCUCAGGGAGCAGUAUAGCACAGCCAUUCUGAAUCAACGUCACUGUUCUGUCCUCUUGAAGGAUUUUCAGGAAGAAUGCAGAAAAAAUGAGAGGCUUAAGAAGGAAUUUACACUUCAUGAAAAACAAAGGGGCCAAACUUCUUCCUAAUUGUGGUGUUUAUCUUGUUGUCCUGAAGCUUGUAAGUUGUUAUUCCUCGGAGGCAAGAAGUAGUGGAUAUCUCUUACUAUCAGAGUUCAUAUAAAGUGGAUAAUGAGUGAAGAAAUAAUGAAGCUACUUCUGGAUAAGCAUCAUUUCUCCUGGGAAAUUCCAUUUUGUAUUAUACUUGUUAUUUAAUUUGUCUUCAUAUGAGGACAAAUACGAAGUUUCUGCUGUUUAGCGUUCUUAAUAUUUUCUAAUAUUUCUAUAUUCUACCUGAUCGAUUUCUUCUUUUGUUGCAUCCUCUAAAGCCCACAUUGCUAUCUGUCUUUUGUCAUUUUUACUGCAUCCUUCAAUUGUAUUAGAACUUAUGUUGCUGUAUGAUUAGGAAUCCUUCAUGUCUCCUAGAAAAGCAUAUAGCCACCACCGAUCAUUUAUUUCAUAUUUUUUGUAGUCCAGGAAGGUCCACAUGUAAACGAGCUUACCUACAAUUAAUCUGCAGAAAUAAAACUUUUAAUUUGUCAUAAACUCGUGUUGCUGCCAUUCAUUAGUCUUGAUGACUCGAGAUCUGAUUUGAUUAGGAAAUUAUGCCCGCGAGCCAUUUUGUAGAACUAGUCUUCCAUGUGCUCAAAGAUUAUGAUGCAGAUGCAGCAUUAUGGGUAAUCCCAUAUUUGCAUUGUCAGUAUCCCGAUAUAGGCAUUAACGGAAUCCCUAUUACAACCUUACUUAUUCUUAUUGAUAACCCCAUUCUGACCUUAGUAAUUCUUAUUAGUUUCCUCAUAUAUAUACAUUAUCACUUUCAUCGUUCAUGCUAAUCGGUUCCAGUUUGCAUUAUUAUCAACUAAUUCUGUGGCGCGCCACAUAUAAGAAUAUGUAUUUCUAGACAUUUUUUUGGUGUUGUUGUAAUGAACAACAAUAGAAGAUAGAUUGUCUUGAUCAAAGUGAUUGUCAUCCUUGUUCCUGAUAUCGGUUAUUUCCCUUAUUAUUACUUGUCUUUGUGAACCACGAAUUCAGAAUGUUGAUUAAAAUUUUCACAAUAAACUUUGAUCAGAAUUUCUUAGUUCAUUAUUUAUGCGAUGUAUGUUCUGUAAUUUGAAGAUGCAAAUGCUCACUUUUCUUACGCAACACAGGCGAUUAGCCGACCAGAAGACAAAAGACAUGCCUGAAUUUCAAACAAUAUGCUUGGCUGUUGGUGCUUGGAAACAUUAAGAGUCGAAGCUUAACAUGUCGGUAAGCCAACGUUUCAUCUGCUGGAACUGGAAGACAAACCUGCUAGCUUGAGUUUGUGGUGGCCUACGAGAUCACAUGUGACAUGUUUACUCAAGCAGCUUCACAAAAAAUCAAAGGAGCUACACAAACUUUCAAAUUGAUACAAAUGCUGAGUCAGUCUCCAGGAGAUGAAAAGAUAUAAUUUGGUACAGAUGCAUUUAUGAAACGUAAGAUUUGAUAGUGGCUUAAUGUUUGGCUUUUUUUUUUUUUACUUGGAAUGAGUCUAAUUUUCCAAUAUUAGACCUUCUGUUCAGAUGUUAUUGUUGCUUGUUGACUUUUACAGUUCUUACUAUAUUAUUAUGAUCAUUAAUAUCUAUAAUUAUUUGAGAGGAUUAAUAUCUAUAAUUACAUUAAUAUUUUUAUGAUAAAUUUUGAUAUAUUCUAUAUA